UUAAGUUCAGCGGGUCUUCCUACCUGAUCCGAGGUCAACCUUGGGUAAAUAAGGCUUUUAACGGCCGGAACCCGCAGCACGCCCUGAGCGAGAUGUAUUACUACGCUCGGAGUGACUAGCGAGCCCGCCACUGGUUUCAGGGCCUGCGGCAGCCGCAGGUCCCCAACACAAGCCUGGGGCUUGAUGGUUGAAAUGACGCU
rnacentral:misc_RNA from 1 species